rnacentral:lncRNA from 1 species
GAAUGAAGCCGAGUAAGCUGCCUCCACUCUGAGGGCCUCUCAGCGAGCACGGAACUCACCAAGUUCAUUAUGCUAGCUGCCUGGUGAGCCCCGGAGAUCCACCUUCCCAGCACAAGAUCACGAACAUGUACCACCACAAUCUGUCUCCCCCCACAAAUUCUGGGGAUUAGACUCAGGUCCUCAGGUUUGUGCAGCAAGCACAUUUACCAACAGAGCCUCCUCUGCAACCCAUGUGCCGUGGAUGACUUGUUGACCAUGAUACUUCACAAAACUGCAAGAGUUCCUACCACAAGGCUGGCAUGAAUGUCGGGACCACUAGGCCUGCAGAAAGGCUUCAUGGCUAUGCAUCACAUCGGACUUUCUCAGCACAGCCAGAUCCAGGGCUUCCUAAGAGAUGAGGAACGCAUUCCAUCUGGGACAGGAAGGUGAAGGCUAUGUGGAAACUGGUUCCUGUGACAGCUGUUAUUCCUGGGCUCUCUCAACCUUUGCAUUCCAGGAGCCUCCAGGACUGAUCUGGGUUUUCCCGUGAGCG